UCCCGCGGAGCGAUUCCAUCGGCGCUCAACAGCGAGAACGAAGAAACAGGAAAGCGGCAACGUCGUGGAGCAACUCCGGCGAUCUCCAUCUACAGGUGCAUCGCUGCCUUGGAGCGAUUGGAUUAGGAGUCAAGUCCAAGAGCAUUGGAGAAUCAAGAACAGAUAAAGAAGCAACUUGCUCGUCGAGGACGCAUGCAGUAGCAGGCGCGGUGGAGAACCCAGCCUCGGCGUACUCGCCGGCCACUACGACGGAGACACGCGGCGUUCCCGCGCUCUGUCAAAUGUGAUGGGCCCUCCCCAUCACGACUCGCGGUGGAGAUUGCAGCGGCGUCUUCGGCGUAGUUCGCUCCCGCGGCUCCUACUCGACGACGUGGUGGACCUUUGCCCUGGGGUGCGGCGCUAUCCGCUGACCCCACUCCUCCAGGUGCGGCCAGCCGUGGCGGAGAUGGAGCAGGCUCUCCCUCCGCCUGGCAGAGUGCAGCCUGCACCCGGCGCUGGCCAGGCCCGAGCCCGUCGCGAGGCUUCCUCCGGCAUGGUUCCUGGAAGCGGAGACGACGGUGCGCCCACAGCAGCGGCCCCUCCCGCGACGAAAGCAGCGGCCCCUCCGGCCGGCGGAGCCCAUCUCGAAUGGCUGUGGCGUAGAAAAUUCCCCAUUGGGAAUUUCAUAUCCGCACAGGAGGAAGAAAGGAAAUCUUAUCCUUUCAACCAUUUCUGGAUUUAGUCCUCUGACUUUAUCUUAAUGCUAAAUACGUCCAAGUAAAUUCUGAUUCGAUCCUCAGGCUUAUGAAUCUUUUCAGUUUAGCUCUACGCUUUACUGUAUUUUACAAUCAAGCCAUCUGGCAACUUGGACUUUGCA